GACGAACGCUGGCGGCGUGCUUAACACAUGCAAGUCGAACGGAAACGCCCUGCGUGUUUGCUCUUCUCGGUUGCCGAUCGCGUAAGUAACACGUGUGUAACCUGCCCUUGACUUUGGUAUAACUUCACGUAACUGGAGCUAAGACCGUAUAGGAUCUCCUGCUGCAUUGUGGGCGUUGGAUAUUUUCGGCGGUUGGGGUUGGACUCGCGGCUUAUCAGCUUGCUGGUUGGCUAGUGGCUUACCAAGGCUUUGACGGGUAGCCGGCCUGAGAGGGUGAACGGCGACAUUGGGACUGCGAGACGGCGCAGACUGGUAUGGGAGGCAGUAGUGGGGAAUAUUGCACAGUGGGAGGAAGCCUGAUGAAGCAACGCCGCGUGCGGGAUGACGGCCUUCGGGUUGUAAAAAGCAUUCGCCUGUGACGAAGCGUGAGUGACGGUAAUGGGUAAAGAAGCACCGGCUAACUACGUG
rnacentral:rRNA from 1 species